rnacentral:rRNA from 1 species
UACGGAAGGCAGCAGUGGGGAAUAUUGCACAAUGGGCGCAAGCCUGAUGCAGCCAUGCCGCGUGUAUGAAGAAGGCCUUCGGGUUGUAAAGUACUUUCAGUCGUGAGGAAGGUGUUAAGGUUAAUAACCUUAGCAAUUGACGUUAGCGACAGAAGAAGCACCGGCUAACUCCGUGCCAGCAGCCGCGGUAAUACGGAGGGUGCGAGCGUUAAUCGGAAUUACUGGGCGUAAAGGGCACGCAGGCGGUUAAUUAAGUUGGAUGUGAAAUCCCCGGGCUUAACCUGGGAAUGGCAUUCAAGACUGGUUAGCUAGAGUCUUGUAGAGGGGGUAGAAUUCCAUGUGUAGCGGUGAAAUGCGUAGAGAUGUGGAGGAAUACCGGUGGCGAAGGCGGGCCCCCUGGACAAAAGGACUGACGCUCAUGUGCGAAAGCGUGGGGAGGCAAACAGGAUUAGAUACC